CGGGCUUGGUCGCAAGACCAGGCCAGUGGCGUAAGGGUGAGUAAGGCGACGGCAACCAACCCCAUGGUUGGGCAUAGCCGCGGGAAACUGCGGGUAAUUCCCAGCGAUGCUCGCAUCGGGCAUCCGAAGCGAACCAAAGUUCAGGCGCCGUGGGACGGGCCGUCGUGGUAUUAGGUUGUUGGCGGGGUAAUGGCCCACCAAGCCUCUGAUGCCUACCGGGCGUGCGAGCGUGGCCCGGCACACUGGGACUGAGACACUGCCCAGACUCCUACGGGAGGCUGCAGUCGAGAAUCUUCGGCAAUGGGCGCAAGCCUGACCGAGCGACGCCGCGUGGAGGAUGAAGGCCUUCGGGUUGUAAACUCCUGUCGAGGGGGAGGAAGGCGCAAGCUUGACCGAUCCCUGGAGGAAGCACGGGCUAAGUUCGUGCCAGCAGCCGCGGUAAGACGAACCGUGCGAACGUUAUUCGGAAUCACUGGGCUUAAAGCGCGUGUAGGCGGAUGGGGACGUCGGUUGCUGAAAGCCCCCGGCUCAACCGGGGAACGGGCGCCGAAACGCCCCGUCUCGAGGGACGUAGGGGGACCUGGAACUUCCGGUGGAGCGGUGAAAUGCGUUGAGAUCGGAAGGAACGCCCGUGGCGAAAGCGAGGUCCUGGACGUCUACUGACGCUGAGACGCG
rnacentral:rRNA from 1 species